CCAAAAACAAUCCAUUGAUACACUUGGUGACAUUAAUUGAGAAAAAAACAAUAUGGUCUGGCCAUGGAGGCAUGAUAUCCGUAACAUCCCCCAAAGGAGCUAAAGAAGAAAUCCACAAUUUACCAUGAGCAUUUCUCGUCUAAUGAUUGCCAAGCGAUUCCUCCAGGACAUUCCUCAAGAUCAAUUUCUGUUCAUCCACCUUGUCCUGGGAGGGACAUCAAUGGGUUUCCAUGUCCUUUGGCUUCUGGUUGAGUUCACUCAGUGGAGAACCCUGGCAAGAGGCAGGAAAAGGGGAGGAAGGUGAAAACCAUCCAUUUCUUGGAGAAGUGCCACGGUGGGGUUGCAAGUCCCAGGAUCAAGAUUUCGAUGUGUCUCUUUUUCCCGUAAAGUGGCUGAAAUCUGAAGCUGAAUCUGUAAAAAUGGUGCUACCCUUGGAAAUCCAAGAGCAGCUUCAAGAGUCAACUAUACCAGCAAUCCCUAAAGCUGGAGAAUUUAUGCCCAUGGAAAAGUCUGUAGCGUUUUGCAAACCUUGAGGCUGAGGAAUAGACCUAGUUCCUGCAGCAGAUCAAAAUGGUAGCCCCUUUUCUUUCCAUGAAAAGAAUUUCUACGGAGACAGUAGGUUUCCCAUUGGAUUGUUGUCAGAUGAAUUGACCUUAUCUCUUUUCAACCCUUACUCUCAGAAAGAUGCAGAAAUGCAGCAACUAUUGCAGGGAUUCCGUGAGACCAAGGACCUGUCUCCAUAGCAGGGUGAUGUUGCCUUUAGUAAUAAUUAUAAUGAUAAAAAUAUCAUCUGAUGUUUAUGGAACAAUGCCAAGUACUAGAACAGUGGUUCUCAACCAGGGGCAAUUUUACCCUCCCAGGGGACACUUGGAAAUGUCUGGAGACAUAUUUGAUGGUGAUGAUGGAGAAGAUGGUGGUCCGUGGGUGGGGUGCUAACAUCUGAUGGAUAGAAGCUAAGGAUGUUGCUAAACAUCCUGUAAUGCACAAGACAGUGUCCCUAACCUCCAACAGAGAAUGAUCCCUCACAAAAUGAAAAGAGUGUUACAGUUGAGCAACCUUUCAGUAGACUGAGGCUUUUACACAUAUUUAGCCUUCAAAAUAACCCUAUAAGACACACAGUUAUUGUCCCCACUUUACAGAUGAGCAUAUUUAAGCUUGAAGGAACUAGCUCCAAUUGUUUUGACCUUUGAAUGCUCUCAGAUUUCUUUGUUAAGAUCUAUUUGGUUCUAUGGCCAUAGCAGAACAUUUAGGUUUGUUCAGUGGCUGGGAAUUGGUUCCCUCAAAUGUCAGCAUGGAAGUUAUUCAGCUUAAGCUGACCCAGUCCCUCUCCCAUUCUGCUGACUAACAGCUGGUGGCUGGAGCUGUGGGGAGAAGAUAUUAUAUAAUGUCUACAAAAGUAAUGAAAAGUUGAUUUAACUGCUAAGAUAAGCAACCAGCAAGAUAGAAUUUACACUGAUUUAAAAAUAUGUUUGCUGAGUAUAAUAUCUAGACUGCCCCCCACACCCUCUGUUCUUUAUUCCUGACCUCUGAUAGUGCUGUGGCAUGUGCUGUUGAGAAAUCAGAGGUCUCAAUGCCAUGAGAAUCAGACAAGAGGCAAUCUCCACACUGCAACCAUAUACAGAAUUAGGUCAUUGAAUUCCAAGAGUAUUGGGUCCUUUGGAAGACAAACUGUUAUUCUUUUUUUUUUUUUCCUUUUUGAUAAAUGCCUACCUCCUUUUAAAAAUAUUUCCGACAGGAAAAUCAGACUUUUUCUUUUGAAUAAUUUCUCUGCAUCUGGGUUGGAUGUUGACUACUUCUUCUCUUUCCUCUGCUCUUUUUCUAUCCUUUUCGCUAUUUUUUUCAACCUUUUUCACAGUUGUUUCUAUUUCCUUCUUCUCCCCUCUCCUUAUAAUAGCUCCCACUGUACACCAGGCAAAUCAGUAUGGUUGGGUCAA
ensembl:lincRNA